rnacentral:rRNA from 1 species
UACAGAGGGGGCAAGCGUUGUUCGGAAUUACUGGGCGUAAAGGGCGCGUAGGCGGCCUGUUAAGUCGAACGUGAAAUCCCCGGGCUCAACCCGGGAACUGCGUCCGAUACUGGCAGGCUUGAAUUCGGGAGAGGGAUGCGGAAUUCCAGGUGUAGCGGUGAAAUGGCGUAGAUAUCUGGAGGAACACCGGUGGCGAAGGCGGCGUCUCUGGGACGGU